rnacentral:rRNA from 1 species
AGCGGACAGAUGGGAGCUUGCUCCCUGAUGUUAGCGGCGGACGGGUGAGUAACACGUGGGUAACCUGCCUGUAAGACUGGGAUAACUCCGGGAAACCGGGGCUAAUACCGGAUGCUUGUUUGAACCGCAUGGUUCAAACAUAAAAGGUGGCUUCGGCUACCACUUACAGAUGGACCCGCGGCGCAUUAGCUAGUUGGUGAGGUAAUGGCUCACCAAGGCAACGAUGCGUAGCCGACCUGAGAGGGUGAUCGGCCACACUGGGACUGAGACACGGCCCAGACUCCUACGGGAGGCAGCAGUAGGGAAUCUUCCGCAAUGGACGAAAGUCUGACGGAGCAACGCCGCGUGAGUGAUGAAGGUUUUCGGAUCGUAAAGCUCUGUUGUUAGGGAAGAACAAGUACCGUUCGAAUAGGGCGGUACCUUGACGGUACCUAACCAGAAAGCCACGGCUAACUACGUGCCAGCAGCCGCGGUAAUACGUAGGUGGCAAGCGUUGUCCGGAAUUAUUGGGCGUAAAGGGCUCGCAGGCGGUUCCUUAAGUCUGAUGUG